rnacentral:misc_RNA from 1 species
UCUCCGUUGGUGAACCAGCGGAGGGAUCAUUAUCGAGUUUAUAACUCCCAAACCCUAUGUGAACUUACCACUUAUUGCUUCGGCGCGCGCUUCGGCGCCGCCGAGGACACUUAAACUCUUUGUUUUUAUAAGCAUUUCUGAGUGGCCGAAAGGCAAAAUACAAAUGAAUCAAAACUUUCAACAACGGAUCUCUUGGUUCUG